UGUGUGUGUGUGUGUGUGACGUUAACCCGUCGGUGUGUUCUGAUUGGUCAGGUUUGAGGAGAAAGCCCAGUCGGAACCGCUGAGUGCGCUGAAGUACCUGCAGAACGACCUGUCCCUCACGGUGGACCACACAGACCCCGAGGAGACCAAAGAGUUCCAGCUUCUUCCCUCGGCUCUCUUCAAGUCCGGCUCCGACUUCAUCCCUCUGGGUUUCUCCGACGUCGACCAGACGUACGCCCAGCGGACGCAGCUCUUCGACACGCUCGUCAACUUCUUCCCGGACACCAUGACUCCGCCCAAGGGCAACCUGGUGGACCUCAUCACGCUCUAGCCCCGCCCCC